rnacentral:tRNA from 1 species
GGAGCAUUCGCCCAGUGGCCCAGGGCCUCACUCUUCCAAAGUGAUGACGCGGGUUCGAAUCCCGCAUGCUCCU